AUCUAUUCCAGAUUCCACUAUGCUGUGCAGUGGAAGUUCUAUGUUCCCUCAAAGGUGACUGCUGUUAUCACAGAAUUACAGGGAACAGUUCCAGGAGGGGAAGAACUAUAAUGGGAAAAUGCUUUGCACUGCAGUCUCCAGAAAGAGUAGUUUAUUAAGAACUCUGCUGGUGGUUUCCCAUAAAAGAAGAAGAUGUACGAAUAAUUUCAACUGGAAUAGAACUACCAGAAUAAAGACAUGACUAUA